UGGGCAAUGGCUCCUUCACAGA
rnacentral:miRNA from 1 species